CAGGGAGACAAUAAAUUGAUUGUGAUGUCUAAGUUAUUUAUUCUUAGGCCGCAAUCCUGUCACCUUAAGGUCGAUCGGUACCUCAGAUUUUUGAAUUAGUUUUACGAUUGAUUCUUUGAUUUCAGUUCCUAAACUUGUCUAGGUCACACCCAACAAAGGUUUCUCCUGGGCCAUUAGCUCAGGUGGUUAGAGCGCACCCCUGAUAAGGGUGAGGUCCCUGGUUCAAGUCCAGGAUGGCCCAUUCGUUGUUGGGGGUAUAGCUCAGUUGGUAGAGCGCCUGCUUUGCAAGCAGGAUGUCAGCGGUUCGAGUCCGCUUACCUCCACUGAAAACUAUCCUGAUAACUAAAUUUCUGGAGAAAAAAAUUGUAGAUGUGGCUUAGAAUUGUCUAUUUGAAAAGAACCUAGCUUCUUGUCAUCUUUUUAUAGUUGAUAAAAUGCUGGGCUCGCAUGGAUUAUUUCCAUGAGAAUUCAGUAGAACCUUGAAAACUGCAUAGAUUAGAAAGAAUAAAGCAUCUCAUGGAUGCAUAGUUCUGUUUUUAUAAUUUAGCCUUAAAACUAAAUUAUUUAAUCCUAGAAUUCAUGUUUAAUUCUUGAGUAAUAGCCGAGCACAAUUGAUUUUGUGAUUGUAUUAAA
rnacentral:tRNA from 1 species